rfam:Schistosoma rodhaini strain Burundi genome assembly, scaffold: SROB_scaffold0000576
AUCCAUCUGACGAGUCCCAAAUAAGACAAAACGCGUGUCAAACUAGAU